rnacentral:lncRNA from 12 species
AACAGCGGUGGGGGAAGAGCACAUCAGACACUCGCAAGAACACCUGCAGCCACAGCGCUGGGCGCGGGUGGGCCCUCAAGAAGGCCCGGGCGGGCAGGUGGGGGCCCGGGCGGGCAGGUGGGGGCCCGGGCGCGCCUGCCUAGGCCCGGGCACGACCCCGGGUCCGGGACGCAGUCCUGCUCGGCUCCCCGCCGGGAGCCCGCCUCUCCCGCGGCCCGGCUCUGCGUCCCGCUGAGUUUCCCUGGAGCAAGUCACUCUCCACUCUCCGGGCUUCAGCUUUCGUGUCUUAAAGAACCGAGCAACUGCCAUCGCAAGGGCUGCUGCGCAGGCCGGGAAGACGCAGCAAGGGCACGGGCUCCUUCGUGCCACACGCUCCAGAAACGCACACGGAGGGAGGGCAGCCAGGAAGGCGGGGACCCCGGGCCGCGAGCCGGCGCCCCCCCCCACCCCGGGGCCCGCGGGGUCCAGGCCCGCCGCGUCUCACCGCCGACGAGGGGAGGCUCCUGUUUCAGAGACCCCGUGCCCGGAUCACCAGGUAACCUAACAAGAUUAAAAUUAAAUUGGUUGAUGAUGGUUCUGAACAAAUACAGCCCUUUUAUUUGAGGUAUGCCAUUUUGAAGACUGAGAUCCAUGGAGUUUUAUCCUUGAGUAUAUAAAAGGAAAUAUUUGCUAAAAUCUUUAUUUUAUAUAGCAAAAAUGUGAAUCCAGAGACUGAAUUCUCUAAAGGGCCUGUACAACGUAAUAGAUGUUGGUGGAAGCAUUUACACCCAGUCAGCUUGAAGAGUCUCAAAUGGAUCCUACCACUGAGAAAACAAGAUGGCAGUCCACUAUGGGGAAUUGAGGAAAAUGGAUUAAUACCAGAGUGCUGUGAUAAUAUACAACCAAGACAGGGUUCUUUUAACAUGGAUUUCAUGAAAUGAAUGAAGACAUAGGUUUCUUACCCAGCACAAAUGGACAGUGGAUUUGACUUUCCAAAGACUUUUUGUAUCAUUAAAACAAGUAAAUUUUUGACAUUUGGAGAAGAAAGAUGGCACAUUAACACAGAUGUUAGUUUGUAUGCCUGGAAAUUUUUGCAGUUUGAUUUGUAUGAGUAUGACUUUGUGGAAUGUUAACUUUAAU